rnacentral:rRNA from 1 species
GCAGCAGGCGCGCAAAUUACCCACUCCCGGCACGGGGAGGUAGUGACGAAAAAUAACGAUACGGGACUCAUCCGAGGCCCCGUAAUCGGAAUGAGUCAACUCUAAAUCCUUUGACGAGGAUCAAUUGGAGGGCAAGUCUGGUGCCAGCAGCCGCGGUAAUUCCAGCUCCAAUAGCGUAUAUUAAAGUUGUUGCGGUUAAAAAGCUCGUAGUCGAAUUUGUGUCUCGCGCCGCCGGUUCAUCGUUCGCGGUGUCAACUGGCGUGUCGCGAGACGUCCUGCCGGCGGGCUUAGCUCGUAAGGGCGGCCCAACUCAAUCCUGCCGCGGUGCUCUUCACUGAGUGUCGAGGUGGGCCGGCACGUUUACUUUGAACAAAUUAGAGUGCUUAAAGCAGGCUAAAACUUCGCCUGAAUACUGCGUGCAUGGAAUAAUGAAACAGGACCUCGGUUCUAUUUUGUUGGUUUUCGGAACCCCGAGGUAAUGAUUAACAGGAACGGAUGGGGGCAUUCGUAUUGCGACGUUAGAGGUGAAAUUCUUGGAUCGUCGCAAGACGGACAGAAGCGAAAGCAUUUGCCAAAAACGUUUUCAUUGAUCAAGAACGAAAGUUAGAGGUUCGAAGGCGAUCAGAUACCGCCCUAGUUCUAACCAUAAACGAUGCCAGCUAGCGAUCCGCCGACGUUCCUCCGAUGACUCGGCGGGCAGCUUCCGGGAAACCAAAGCUUUUGGGUUCCGGGGGAAGUAUGGUUGCAAAGCUGAAACUUAAAGGAAUUGACGGAAGGGCACCACCAGGAGUGGAGCCUGCGGCUUAAUUUGACUCAACACGGGAAACCUCACCAGGCCCGGACACCGGAAGGAUUGACAGAUUGAGAGCUCUUUCUUGAUUCGGUGGGUGGUGGUGCAUGGCCGU